rnacentral:rRNA from 1 species
CCUACGGGUGGCAGCAGUGGGGAAUAUUGCACAAUGGGGGAAACCCUGAUGCAGCGAAGCCGCGUGAGCGAUGACGUAUUUCGGUAUGUCAAGCUCUAUCAGCCCAGUAGAAAAUGAAGGUACCUGACUAUGACGCCCCGGCUAACGACGUACCGGCAGCGGCGGUGAUACGUAGGGGGCAAGCGUUAUCCGGAUUUACUGGGUGUGAAGGGAGCGUCGGCGGUCCUGAAAGCCAGAUGUGAAAGCCCGGGGGUCAACCCCGGGACUGCAGUUGGAACUGUAAGGCUCGAGUGUCGGAGAGGCAGGCGGAAUUCCUAGUGUAGCGGUGAAAUGCGUAGAUAUUAGGAGGAACACCAGUGGCGAAGGCGGCCUGCUGGACGCUAACUGACGUUGAGGCUCGAAAGCGUGGGGAGCAAACAGGAUUAGAUACCCCUGUAGUC